rfam:Babesia microti strain RI apicoplast complete genome
AGAAGAUAAGCUAAAUGGUUAAGCAUUUGAUUUGAGAUCUUAGUAAUAUGGGUUCGAUUCCCGUAUCUUCUU